rnacentral:tRNA from 1 species
ACUUAAAUUUUGAGCCUUAGUAAAGAAAUUUACUAAGUGACUGUUUUCACAUUCAGGGAAACCUAAGGUUUUAAAUAUAAGGUAAUCCUGAGCCAAAUUUUAAUUAUAAAAUAGGUGCAGAGACUCAAAGGAAACUAUCCUAACGUCCUUAUUUUUUAUUAUUUAAGUAUCACUUUUAAAGUGCACACUAUAAAAGAUAUGUUUAAAAUAAUAAAAAAAUUUGAUGAAUACUAAAUAAUAGUUUUUUUUUAAACAACUUUUAAUAGACGAGGAUAAAGAUAGAGUCCUUUUUAUAAUCUAUAUAAUUUUUACUUAAAAAUAGAUUAAAAAAGAAAAUCCGUUGGCUUUAAUAGACCUUGAGGGUUCAAGUCCCUCUACCCCCA